rnacentral:rRNA from 1 species
GUAGGUGAACCUGCGGAAGGAUCAUUACUGAUUUGCUUAAUUGCACCACAUGUGUUUUUCUUUGAAACAAACUUGCUUUGGCGGUGGGCCCAGCCUGCCGCCAGAGGUCUAAACUUACAACCAAUUUUUUAUCAACUUGUCACACCAGAUUAUUACUAAUAGUCAAAACUUUCAACAACGGAUCUCUUGGUUCUCGCAUCGAUGAAGAACGCAGCGAAAUGCGAUACGUAAUAUGAAUUGCAGAUAUUCGUGAAUCAUCGAAUCUUUGAACGCACAUUGCGCCCUCUGGUAUUCCGGAGGGCAUGCCUGUUUGAGCGUCGUUUCUCCCUCAAACCGCUGGGUUUGGUGUUGAGCAAUACGACUUGGGUUUGCUUGAAAGACGGUAGUGGUAAGGCGGGAUCGCUUUGACAAUGGCUUAGGUCUAACCAAAAACAUUGCUUGCGGCGGUAACGUCCACCACGUAUAUCUUCAAACUUUGACCUCAAAUCAGGUAGGACUACCCGCUGAACUUAAGCAUAUCAAUAAGCGGAGGA